UACGGAGGGUGCGAGCGUUGUCCGGAAUCACUGGGCGUAAAGGGCGCGUAGGUGGCUGGGGAAGUCGGCGGUGAAAGCCCGGAGCUCAACUCCGGGUCGGCCGUCGAGACUCCUCGGCUCGAGCUCACUAGAGGCAGAUGGAAUUCCGGGUGUAGCGGUGGAAUGCGUAGAGAUGUGGAGGAACACCGAUGGCGAAGGCAGCCCCCUGGGCUAACACUGACGCUCAGGCACGAAAGCGUGGGGAGCAAACAGG
rnacentral:rRNA from 1 species